rnacentral:tRNA from 1 species
GCCGCCUUAGCUCAGUGGUAGAGCACUGGUCUCGUAAACCAGGGGUCGUGAGUUCGAACCUCACAGGCGGCA